UCUGUUAUUCUGUUAUAACCACCGGCUUGGACUCCCGUCUCUCUUCCUUAUAGGCGACGGCGGUUGCUAGGCAGAGCGGCAGCGACGGGACGAACUUCUUGCGGCAUCCUCUGGUUUUCCGGCGUGGUCUUCUCCUCCGACCGAGGCGUAGCAGCCGCCGACCUCCUCACCCUCUCGUCUCUCUGUACCUCUCUCUCCAGCGUAGCGUGGGUUGUUUCUCCUUGAGCGACGAACGGAGCUACGGCAGUAGCGGAGGUGACGGCGGCGGCAGUGUCUUCCCCGGCGAAUCUUGGAACCGUAGCCUGACUGAGUACCUCACCCCGAUUCAACGAUCUCGGCUCACUCUGCUCACUGGACAGCCGUAGCUCCGGCAGCGACGGCAACGAUCUCGGCCCCGCAGCACACCGGCAGCGACCGCAACGGCAGACACGGCACGACUUCGGAGUGAACAGUGUUGGAUCUUCUGCGCAGCAACUUAAGUGUUUCUCUCUUUUGUCCUCCUCGUAGCAACAGAUUCUCUCCAUUCUCUGAGGUCAUCAUGUUGAGUUUUUGGUCAGAUCACCAAAAAGUCAUAGCGGAGAACAAAGAGCUGCACAAGGUGAAGGAAGAACUCCUUAAGGAGGUGAAGUAUCUUCAGGAGAAGCGAGAGCACCACGAAGGACUGGCGAAUGUGCUUGUGGCCCAUAAAGCAGAUGUGGAUGCUCUUGUGAUUAGCCAGCUGACAGAAAUCGAAAAACUUAAGCAGCUCCUCAAAAUACAAGAAGGCUAUCUUCAGCAGCAAAAGGAUACGUGGAAUGAACUGAAGGGCCUCCUUCAAAAGAGAAAUAAAGAAGUGGAUGAUGUGGUGGCCUUAGGCUUUUCUUGCCUACCAUCAUCAUCCACUGAUUAGGGUGAUUAGGUAUGAAGGGGUGUGACCUUCAUUUUUAUCAGUUUCUUCUUUCACUACUUGCAUUAAACUUUGUUGUUUUUUGUUGAAUGCAUGGAGAAGAAUAGAACCCCAGAAUCCAAAUAUCUUCUGAUUAGGGUGAUUAGGUAUGAAGGGGUGUGACCUUCAUUUUUAUCAGUUUCUUCUUUCACUACUUGCAUUAAACUUUGUUGUUUUUUGUUGAAUGCAUGGAGAAGAAUAGAACCCCAGAAUCCAAAUAUCUUCUAGCGUGAAGUUGCUUGCCUUA